GAAAUUAGUAAGGGCGACAGGUGGAUGCCUCGGCAGAGGGAGGCGAUGAAGGGCGUGUAAAGCUGCGAAAAGCCCGGGGGAGCCGCAAAAUGGCUGCGAUCCCGGGAUGCCCGAAUGGGGAAACCCGGCCCCCGUAAUAGGGGGUCAUCCCGCCUUCGGCGGGAGGCGACACCCGGGGAAGUGAAACAUCUCAGUACCCGGAGGAAAAGAAAGAGACAUCGAUUCCCUGAGUAGCGGCGAGCGAAAGGGGAGGAG
rnacentral:rRNA from 1 species